rfam:Apaloderma vittatum contig67197, whole genome shotgun sequence.
GGACCGGUUAGCUCAGUCAGUUGAGCUUGGUGCUAACAACAUCAUGGUCACAGGUUCGAUUCCCAUUCGGUCCC